ACGGGUGAGUGACACGCGCGCAACCUGCCUGCCCGAUGGAUGACAACCUUCCGAAAGGAAUGGUUGUACCUAAUGAAUAGGGGGGGAUGAAUCUCCGCUGCGAGAAAGAUGGGCUGUACUCUGGAACUAUCUACUGCUGAUGGAGGGGUUUGCGAUUGAUUGGCUGGUGAGAGAACGAACCACCCACCCGAGGAACAAUAACCGGCCUGACAGAAAGAAUGAACAGGCACAUUGUAACUGACACACCAUCCUCACUCCUACGGCAGGCAUGGGAAAUCAAUCUUCCGGAAUGGGAGCCUGACUGACGGACCCACCGUGAGUGAAUAAAGACUUCCUUCCGGAUGGCUCUGUCUGUUAUAACGAACGAACCUACGGCUAAUAAAAAUAUACCCGGACUGACCCCACCGAGGAAGACACGCCUAACUAACUACCUGCCACCGCGGUAAUACAUACGUGGCGAGCGUUGUUGGCAAUCAUUGAUUGGUAAAGGAAGCGCAGGCAGGCCAUGUGAGUCUUUCUGACCAGAGCGUGCGCUCACCCCCCCCAUGAGAGGAAGACAAACUGUCUUGCUGACAGUGACGGAAAGCAAAAUUCACUUCCGUAGCGUAGAAUGACAUGCAUAUUAUAUAAGAACACAACACCGCGAGGGGAGAUUUUCUGUACUGCAACAGACUGAGACUCUCGGAACGCAGGGCAGGGGAACGGAAUGAGAUACACCCC
rnacentral:rRNA from 1 species